rnacentral:lncRNA from 1 species
UGGAACCUGGGAUUCAAGCCGCCAGGCAAAGUGCCCUAGCAGGGACUCUGGCUUAGUGAGAGUCUCUGUUUCCCCCUUUUCUUUCUUUCCACCCAAUAAAACCGGGUCUUACUCAUCAUUCAAAUUGUCUGCGAGCCUGAAUUUUUGUGGCCGUGGGACAAAGAACCCCGUCUUUAACGGAACUAAGGAAAAGCCCUGCAACAAUUUUGGCGCGCAACGUGGGGACUUGAGAAGCGGUUGAACUCUUUUGUGUCAACUAAAAGAACAUAUGAACAUAGCAGGGCUGUCAAGAUAAGGCCACAAGCUUGCCGAGUUGGGGACCUUUGAAAUACAAAGUGACAAGGUUCAACCCAACAACCUGACUUAAUGAAAGUGAAAAACAUUAGCCAGUGAAAAUAUAGAAGGAAAAACAUCAUUGUGAUGGUAACAGAGCUCUGGCCACAGGCGAGACUGAAACUUUUUCUCCUGACUUCCCUGACUUCCCAGGAGUCUGUCUGGUACCUAGAGGAGAAGGUGAGAAAUGAAGAAGAAAAUGCUGCCCAAUUUCCUUCAUUUCCAAUUGAGAGACUCUUUCAAGAUUUCCCAUCUCUGAAUUUGCCAA